UGCCGUUUUUUGAAUCUGUGGUCCGAGUCUAUGACAUGGAGCUCUGCAAGAGUUAACACUCCCGAGCAGAAUGCUACUCCGAAACCGCCUCUUCACUCUCUUACCACCUCCAUCUUUUCAUCUACCUUCUACAAAACCUCUCUUCUCUACCCUCUUUUUCAAUUACUCGACCCUAAAAUCUCCAAAGCCCAAUUCGAUACCUCAUGUCUCUGCUUCAAAGACUGCCAAACCGUCGACCUCUGAUGCCGCCCGAUUCGCCCGCACUGUGCUCUUUGUCCCACCAGGUGUCGACCCCGACGAGGUGACGGAGGACAUGGUUUUACCGGGGUCGAACAUCGUUAUAGGACCCUACGCGGGUCAUUCACAGAUUAAGGAAGUGGAAUUCGUUAAGAGCAGCAGUCGGGCUAGAGACUGUCCCAGAGAUGACCGGCCCGAGUUUGCCAUUCUGGGUCGCUCCAAUGUGGGCAAGUCUUCACUUAUUAAUUCUCUUGUUAGAAAGAAGGAAAUUGCUCUAACUUCAAAAAAACCAGGGAAGACCCAGUUCAUUAAUCAUUUCCUGGUGAAUAGAAGUUGGUAUAUUGUGGAUUUGCCUGGUUAUGGGUUUGCUAAGGCCCCAGAUUCUGCUCGAACAGAUUGGUCUGCCUUCACUAAAGGCUACUUUUUGAACAGAGAAACUCUAGUUGCUGUCCUACUUCUUAUUGAUGCAAGUGUUCCCCCUCAAAAGAUUGACCUAGAUUGUGCUAAUUGGCUUGGACGCAAUAAUAUACCAUUGACUUUUGUUUUCACAAAAUGUGACAAAAUGAAAGGGGGAAAGGGAACAAGGCCUGAUGAGAACAUUAGGAAAUUCCAAGAGCUGAUCAGACAAAACUACCAGGAACAUCCUCCAUGGAUAAUGACUAGUAGUGUAACUGGCUUGGGCAGAGAUGAGCUUCUUCUUCAUAUGUCACAGCUAAGGAACUACUGGGAUCAAUAAAACGUGGAGUCAAAAUCUACUGUCCGAUAUAACUUACACCUAAAAUAGAUGCAUGAUAAUCCAGGUAUUAUAUGAAAUAUCUACAGUUUCCACCUAUCCCCAACUUAUUUUGUUCCUGUUACAUGUGAUUUCUUCUACAGAAAGUUGCUUUAAAAUAUAAAAAUGGAGUCUGUAACUUGCAGUGUGCUGGAGCCUGGAUGUAACAUUUUUCAUUUAUUAUAGGUUCAAUAAUUUCACUCAUCUAGAGAAGUAUUUGUUAAUUGUGCUGCUUGCUGCACCGUCAUCAUACUCUUGAAGCUUUGACCAAGACUAUUUUCUGAAGCAUCGCAUCUAAUGAACUGAACCUUCAGUUGAGUCUUUUAUCCCUUGUCCCACUAUUGGUCAAGCUUGUAUUUCUGGUGAUGUCAUAGUUAUGGGGUUCAAACAUUGGAAGAACUUGCGCAGCACAUCAGGCAACUGCUCUUUCGAUCUAAGAAAUGUUUGUACAAUUCAUGCAUCCAUUAAAAUAAUAGAGAUAAUUACUAUGGUGUUUCUGUA